CUUCAAUAGUGCGAUGUGGGGACGGAGAAGGUUAGCUCAGCCAACUGUUGGAUAUGUUGGUUCAAGCCUGUAGUCGUGCCUGGUAGGCAAAUCCGCCGGGCUUAGAUGAGGGGUGAUAACGAGUCUGCUUGCAGACGAAGUGAGUGAUACCCUGCUUCCAGGAAAAGCCACUAAGCUUCAGCUAUUGACGACCGUACCGCAAACCGACACUGGUGCGCGAGAUGAGUAUUCUAAGGCGCUUGAGAGAACUCAGGAGAAGGAACUCGGCAAAUUGAUACCGUAACUUCGGGAGAAGGUAUGCCCCAAGUAGGUGAACUCGUACAGAGGGAGCCCAAAGGGGUUGCAAAAAAUCGGUGGCUGCGACUGUUUAAUAAAAACACAGCACUCUGCAAACACGAAAGUGGACGUAUAGGGUGUGACGCCUGCCCGGUGCUGGAAGAUUAAAUGAUGGGGUGCAAGCUCUUGAUUGAAGUCCCAGUAAACGGCGGCCGUAACAAUAACGGUCCUAAGGUAGCGAAAUUCCUUGUCGGGUAAGUUCCGACCUGCACGAAUGGCGUAACGAUGGCCACACUGUCUCCUCCUGAGACUCAGCGAAGUUGAAAUGUUUGUGAUGAUGCAAUCUCCCCGCGGAAAGACGGAAAGACCCCAUGAACCUUUACUGUAGCUUUGUAUUGGACUUUGAACAGAUCUGUGUAGGAUAGGUAGGAGGCUUUGAAGUGAGGACGCUAGUUCUCAUGGAGCCAACGUUGAAAUACCACCCUGGUGUGUUUGAGGUUCUAACCUAGGUCCAUUAUCUGGAUCGGGGACAGUGCAUGGUAGGCAGUUUGACUGGGGCGGUCUCCUCCCAAAGCGUAACGGAGGUGUUCGAAGGUACGCUAGUUACGGUCGGACAUCGUGACGAUAGUGCAAUGGCAUAAGCGUGCUUAACUGCGAGACUGACAAGUCGAGCAGAUGCGAAAGCAGGACAUAGUGAUCCGGUGGUUCUGUAUGGAAGGGCCAUCGCUCAACGGAUAAAAGGUACUCUGGGGAUAACAGGCUGAUACCGCCCAAGAGUUCAUAUCGACGGCGGUGUUUGGCACCUUGAUGUCGGCUCAUCUCAUCCUGGGGCUGUAGCCGGUCCCAAGGGUAUGGCUGUUCGCCAUUUAAAGAGGUACGUGAGCUGGGUUUAAAACGUCGUGAGACAGUUUGGUCCCUAUCUUCCGUGGGCGCUGCAGAUUUGAGGAAGCCUGCUCCUAGUACGAGAGGACCGGAGUGGACACACCUCUGGUGUAUCGGUUGUCACGCCAGUGGCAUUGCCGAGUAGCUAAGUGUGGAAGAGAUAACCGCUGAAAGCAUCUAAGCGGGAAACUCGUUUCAAGAUGAGAUCUGCCGGGGCCUUGAGCCCCCUAAAGAGUCGUUCAAGACCAGGACGUUGAUAGGCUGGGUGUGGAAGC
rnacentral:rRNA from 1 species